AUGCAGAUCUUCGUGAAGACCCUCACCGGCAAGACUAUCACCCUUGAGGUGGAGUCCUCUGACACCAUUGACAAUGUUAAGGCAAAGAUCCAGGACAAGGAGGGCAUCCCGCCAGACCAGCAGCGCCUGAUCUUCGCUGGCAAGCAGCUCGAGGACGGCCGCACGCUCACCGAUUACAACAUUCAGAAGGAGUCCACUCUGCACUUGGUGCUCCGCCUCCGUGGUGGCCAGUGA
rnacentral:rRNA from 1 species